UACGAAGGGGGCUAGCGUUGCUCGGAAUCACUGGGCGUAAAGCGCACGUAGGCGGCUUAUUAAGUCAGGGGUGAAAUCCUGGAGCUCAACUCCAGAACUGCCUUUGAUACUGAUGAGCUUGAGUUCGGGAGAGGUGAGUGGAACUGCGAGUGUAGAGGUGAAAUUCGUAGAUAUUCGCAAGAACACCAGUGGCGAAGGCGGCUCACUGGCCCGAUACUGAUGCUGAGGUGCGAAAGCGUGGGGAGCAAACAGG
rnacentral:rRNA from 1 species